rnacentral:rRNA from 1 species
AUGGAAAUCUUGGGCACAAUUGAAGGUGCAGUCGGCGAACUGCCCAAAGCAGAAUUAUUCGCGGUUGUGGCAUGGUACAUCUGGUGGCAGCGCCGUCAGAUUGUUAAAGGCGAAACAGUACAAGCACUAGACCGAACUGCUCUUGCUAUAAAAGUUCUAUGUACCAAUUUUGUCAGAUCAUCGUCGCCAAAAUGUCCUAUUAGGAAACGUGAUCACAUGUGGAAAAAACCAACUAGAGGAGCGAUAAAGGUCAACGUUGAUGCUUUGUUUUGUACUAAUACCAUGUCUGGAGCCACAGGAGCUGUUGCUCGGGAUGAAAAGGGUGAUUUCAUUGCAGCCGCCACAUGA